rnacentral:rRNA from 1 species
CCAGGUGGCUAUGGCGGCGGUGUUCCACCUCUUCCCAUUCCGAACAGAGAAGUUAAGCCUGUUUGCGCCGACAAUACUUAGAUUUACUUCUAGGGAAUAUAGGUCUUCGCCAAUG